rnacentral:rRNA from 1 species
UACGGAGGGUGCAAGCGUUAAUCGGAAUUACUGGGCGUAAAGCGCGCGCAGGCGGCCUCGCGCGCCCGACGUGAAAGCCCCCGGCUUAACCGGGGAGGGUCGUUGGGGACGGCGGGGCUUGAGGGCGGGAGAGGGCGGUGGAAUUCCCGGUGUAGUGGUGAAAUGCGUAGAGAUCGGGAGGAACGCCUGUGGCGAAGGCGGCCGUCUGGGCCGACCCUGACGCUGAGGCGCGAAGGCGUGGGGAGCGAACGGG